rnacentral:lncRNA from 1 species
CUGGCACCAGAUGUGCAUGACAUGUGUCAUCUCACCAUUGGUUGGUGGGUUCAGCGGUAGAUGGCGUCAAACCCGAGUCAUAUCAACUCUUCUCUGCCAUGUUUAUGCUAGAUAAAACUUUAUAAAAUUACUCGUUAGUUUUAGUGCAAGCAACUACUACGAAAGUUCUUUUACGUUUUAACCCAUGUUCAUGACAUGCAUACAUUUAUUCAGCAAUAGAAUGCAUGGGCCGAUGUCUGCUCCUCCUGAGAGCCAGCCACACAAGAUUAGUUGUUGCAAUGGAUGCACAUCAAUACCGAUAUUCAUCCUAGCCAGUAAGGGAUGUGCUAGGUUUUGGAUC